AGUAAAAUGGCUGAGUAAGCAUUAACCUCUAAACCUAAAGACAGAGGUUGAGUCCUCUUUUUGUCA
rfam:Canis lupus familiaris chromosome 12, whole genome shotgun sequence.